ACAGGGAUUGCCCUAGUAACGGCGAGUGAAGCGGCAACAGCUCAAAUUUGAAAUCUGGCGUCUUUGGCGUCCGAGUUGUAAUUUGCAGAGGGCGCUUUGGCGUUGGCAGCGGUCCAAGUUCCUUGGAACAGGACGUCACAGAGGGUGAGAAUCCCGUACGUGGUCGCUGGCCUUCGCCGUGUAAAGCCCCUUCGACGAGUCGAGUUGUUUGGGAAUGCAGCUCUAAAUGGGAGGUAAAUUUCUUCUAAAGCUAAAUACUGGCCAGAGACCGAUAGCGCACAAGUAGAGUGAUCGAAAGAUGAAAAGCACUUUGGAAAGAGAGUCAAACAGCACGUGAAAUUGUUGAAAGGGAAGCGCUUGCAGCCAGACUUGCCUGUAGUUGCUCAUCCGGUCUUUUGACCGGUGCAUUCUUCUAUAGGCAGGCCAGCAUCAGUUUGGGCGGUUGGAUAAAGGUCUCUGUCAUGUACCUCUCUUCGGGGAGAACUUAUAGGGGAGACGACAUGCAACCAGCCUGGACUGAGGUCCGCGCAUCUGCUAGGAUGCUGGCGUAAUGGCUGUAAGCGGCCCGUCUUGAAACACGGACCAAGGAGUCUAACAUCUAUGCGAGUGUUUGGGUGUCAAGCCCGAGCGCGUAAUGAAAGUGAACGGAGGUGGGAACCUUUCGGGGUGCACCAUCGACCGAUCCUGAUGUCUUCGGAUGGAUUUGAGUAAGAGCAUAGCUGUUGGGACCCGAAAGAUGGUGAACUAUGCUUGAAUAGGGUGAAGCCAGAGGAAACUCUGGUGGAGGCUCGCAGCGGUUCUGACGUGCAAAUCGAUCGUCAAAUUUGGGCAUAGGGGCGAAAGACUAAUCGAACUAUCUAGUAGCUGGUUCCUGCCGAAGUUUCCCUCAGGAUAGCAGUAACGUAUUCAGUUUUAUGAGGUAAAGCGAAUGAUUAGAGGCCUGGGGGUUGAAACAACCUU
rnacentral:rRNA from 1 species